AGUGAACGCUGGCGGUAGGCCUAACACAUGCAAGUCGAACGGCAGCACAGUAAGAGCUUGCUCUUACGGGUGGCGAGUGGCGGACGGGUGAGGAAUACAUCGGAAUCUACUUUUUCGUGGGGGAUAACGUAGGGAAACUUACGCUAAUACCGCAUACGACCUACGGGUGAAAGCAGGGGAUCUUCGGACCUUGCGCGAUUGAAUGAGCCGAUGUCGGAUUAGCCAGUUGGCGGGGUAAAGGCCCACCAAGGCGACGAUCCGUAGCUGGUCUGAGAGGAUGAUCAGCCACACUGGAACUGAGACACGGUCCAGACUCCUACGGGAGGCAGCAGUGGGGAAUAUUGGACAAUGGGCGCAAGCCUGAUCCAGCCAUACCGCGUGGGUGAAGAAGGCCUUCGGGUUGUAAAGCCCUUUUGUUGGGAAAGAAAAGCAGCAGGUUAAUACCCCGCUGUUCUGACGGUACCCAAAGAAUAAGCACCGGCUAACUUGGUG
rnacentral:rRNA from 1 species